AGAAUUUGAGAAUUAAUUGUGAAAUGAUUCAUGUACCAAAGUGACUGAAAAAGAGGUAUUACUGAGUCAAAUUCCGUAUUUGUCCUAUUGUACCACUCAAUUUUGUGCAUUAAUGAAUUACAGGUAUUUGUAUCACAGAGCCAAAGGACAGUAAAAGUCAAUAACCAUCACAUGGUUUGCGAGAAACACUAUUGGCUUAGUUCAAAUAUUAAUGUGAAUGUAACAGAUAAAAGUCAGGACUCAUUGCAGACUACAUCAGUGUAGACUUGUGGAGAUACAGGACAUCAUGAGGCUCCAAUGGAUGCUCCUGCUAGGAGCCUGCGCGGUGGUGAGGGCAGCAAACCCACCUGCUCUUUACCACCGUUUUGUCCAGAUCCACAUACAAACGAGAAUGGCAAUCCAGGACUGUUCUCGUGUCAUGCGAAGACUGCAGCUGAAUGAGCCUGGAACUCAGAACUGCAAAUAUACAAACACGUUCAUCGUUACUAACCCUAUCCUCCAACAAGUCGAGGCCGUCUGUAAUAAUGCUGGAACACGUGACUUUACAGCUGGCAAUAUAUUCACUAGCAAUCAACGAUUCUCUCUUGUCACUUGUAGGCUCUCUAGUGGCACUCAACACCCCAAUUGUGAAUAUAAUGGUACUCCAUCAAUAAGGAGAAUCAGAGUUUCUUGUGACCCUGAUGGGCAGAACCGUCGUAUACUCUGGCCAACACACUAUGCAGGUGAUGUUGUUUAGCAUAUUUUUGUCAGCUACAAUACUUUAAUCAGGUCUACUAUUUUUUUUUCCAAUAAGGUGGGAAUAUGCCGCUACACAAUUUGCCAUCAAAUGUUAUAGAAACUCGCCAGUUCAAUUUAAAAGGAUUGUGUUACAUAUGAUCCCUUUGUUAUUAGUGGCUUCCUUUUACAGUAAUACAAUGCCUGAUUUCUUGAUUUGCUCUCAGUUGUGACAAAUACAUCUGAAAAGCAGCGUGAUUUUAAUUGCAACUAAAUUGUGAAAAUGUAUUAAAUAAAUGGUACAGUGUGGGCAGACUGUUAAGAAGAAUUGUGUGUAUGGUGUUUGUCUAUAAAUUAGAGUUACAAUGACAUAAAUGUAUUGCAAUUUCUGUUAAAACUGGUUAACUGGCAAACUGUAUUUGAGUUAUUUGUUUACUGUUUGUUUGAGUGAUGCAACUAUUUGUUUCCCACUAAACUAAUGGGACAGUAAACAAAUCUCUAUUGAAAACAGUUUGCUCAGUAUUCUACCUUGGAAAACUGUUGACCUUUUGCCUUGAACUUGUACCAUAAGAUCAAAUAAAUCUCAAAUUCUCACAA